rnacentral:sRNA from 1 species
GUUGGGCCAUCGUCUUUCCAUUCGGUAAGUGCUCUUAUUUUGCAGAGGAAAGUUGAAAAACAAAUUAAAUUCAGACAGAUCACUUGAUGAAUACGAUUUCAUGAAAGUCGGAAAGCAGACAAACAAUGUGUACGAGUUGACGGCUAUUUAUGAAGCAACAGAAGUGGUUAGAUG